rnacentral:snRNA from 1 species
ACAGCCCUCGGGCUUGUACAUCUGUCAAUUUUAACAAUACAGAGACGAUUAGCAUUGUCCUUGCAUAAAGAUGACACGCUUUUCAAAGAGAUUUACCUGUUUUUU